AGAGCGAACGCUGGCGGCAGGCUUAACACAUGCAAGUCGAGCGGGCGUAGCAAUACGUCAGCGGCAGACGGGUGAGUAACGCGUGGGAACGUACCUUUUGGUUCGGAACAACCCAGGGAAACUUGGGCUAAUACCGGAUAAGCUCUUACGGGGAAAGAUUUAUCGCCGAAAGAUCGGCCCGCGUCUGAUUAGCUAGUUGGUGAGGUAAUGGCUCACCAAGGCGACGAUCAGUAGCUGGUCUGAGAGGAUGAUCAGCCACAUUGGGACUGAGACACGGCCCAAACUCCUACGGGAGGCAGCAGUGGGGAAUAUUGGACAAUGGGCGCAAGCCUGAUCCAGCCAUGCCGCGUGAGUGAUGAAGGCCCUAGGGUUGUAAAGCUCUUUUGUGCGGGAAGAUAAUGACGGUACCGCAAGAAUAAGCCCGGCUAACUUCGCGCCAGCAGCCGC
rnacentral:rRNA from 1 species